CCAUUGGUUUUUUUCAAAACCCUAGAUCUAUUCUUUUAGAUUCAGU
rfam:Triticum aestivum genome assembly, contig: Triticum_aestivum_CS42_TGACv1_scaffold_577647_7BL